ACGCUGGCGGCGUGCCUAACACAUGCAAGUCAACUUGACUGAAGGAGCAAUCUGACAGUAGAGUGGCGCAAGGGUGCGUAACGCGUAAGUAACUUGCCCCAAGGUAAGGAAUAACGUCGAGAAAUCGGCGCUAAUACCUCAUAAUGCAGCGGAUCCGCAUGGAUAUGUUGUUAAAGGUUUACCGCCUUGGGAUAGGCUUGCGUCUGAUUAGCUAGUUGGUGUGGUAACGGCACACCAAGGCUACGAUCGGUAACUGGUCUGAGAGGAUGAUCAGUCACACUGGAACUGAGACACGGUCCAGACUCCUACGGGAGGCAGCAGUGAGGAAUAUUGGGUAAUGCUCGAAAGAGUGACCCAGCAACGCCGCGUGGAGGAUGAAGGUAUUCUAUAUCGUAAACUCCUGUGAGAGCAGACGAAAGACAGAUUAUUAAUCUGGAUGACUGUAUGCUCAGAGGAAGCCCCGGCUAACUACGUG
rnacentral:rRNA from 1 species